CUUUCAAAUAUAACCAGUCCUAUAAUAUGUGCUAAUGGCUGUGUGAAGCUGAGUAUGCCUUGAUAGCCUGAGAAUACAUAAUGUUUCACAAAUGAAGAGCUUACCUGGGCAGGAGACUUUAGAAGGCCAGUUGCCUUGCUUCCAGCUGAAGGAGUAGAACACCAGCAGCUCUCAGACCAUACAAAUUGCUAGACACCUUUUCCUGUUGUGGCAUGGUGCAAUGAGGAGCUCUUACCUAUGCCUGGAGACAUGCCAUCUAAGGACUCGUUGGCUGCAGUCUGUGCAGAUCUUCACAUACAAGGAGAUGGCCAUAGCUGUGGUGCUCUGCAGAUGUGGCAGUGGCUUCAUCAGGAUGAACGAGGGGCCCCUGGAGAUGAUCAAGCUGCUCACACUGCAAUACAAGCUACUGGAAUUAGGUCUGCUUCUGGACAAGGAACAGCUUGCUGGAAUGGACAUCCAUGUUCGUGUGAAGGGUAGUGGUCAUGUGGUUCAGAUUUAUGCUGUCCUUCAGUACAUCUCCAAAGCCCUGGUACCCUGUUACCCAAAAUAUGUAGAUGAGGCUUCCGAGGAGAUCAAAGACACCCUCACCAGACCUUGCUGGUGGUUCACCCCUGUUGCUAUGAAUCCAAGAAAUUUGCAGGCCCUGGUGCCUGUGCUCACUACCAGAAAUCAUAGCAGUAAGCCCAUCAAAAAGAUCAAGGUUUACCUUUAUAGUAAACAAUGGUUGAAGGUCUUUAAGGUUAAAAAAAAUUGCUAGACAUCCCAGCUGCCCUAGAAGCAGAGAUGACAUGUGCUGUUAUUUUAAAGGGCCUUGCUUACCUGCAUAUUACCUGUUAGGGCUUUCAGGUAGAAUAUACCAAUGAUAGACCAGUCUGGUGGCACUGUUCCCAAGGACGGAAUAGGGUGAACUUUGAUGUCUAGGCACUCAAAUACUCCAUAAUAAAAUGAUCAUGGAAACUGGCAGUCUUACUCCAAUUGCCCAGGAUGGAGUGCAGUGGCACCAUCUCAGCUCAUUGCAGCCUCAAAUUUCCCAGGCCCAGGUGUCCCUCCUACUUCAGCCUCCUGCAUAGCUGGGACUACAGGCAAGCACCACCAUGCCCAGCUAAUUUUUUAUAUUUUUGGUAGAGACAAGGUUUCACCGUGUUGCCCAGGCUGGUCUUGAAUUCCUAGGCUCAAGCAGUCUGCCUGCUUCAGCCUCCCAAAAUCCUGAGAUUACAGGUGUGAGCCAUUGUGCCUGGCCUGGCCCUCUUAUUUAACCUUGUUUUGGUUGGCAGCAACAUUGAGCCCAGGCUAAAGUACACCAUACAUGUCGGACAGAGCUUAUCUGCCUCAGUAGCCACUUGGUCAGUAUUUGUUGAUCACUUAAACCCACUCAGUGUUGGUCAUUUGUCUGUGUUAGCCUCUGCUAAGGAAUGUGGACCCUACACGUGACAAUACAGUUACCAGUAAAAAGACUCAGUAGGAAUUAUGAGGUAUAUACUCGAAUCAACAGGUAGUUUAUUAUUAUACUACGGGUAUGGCUGUGUAUGUUGCAGUUAGGUUCAGCUGCAGCGAUGGACAUGCCAAAAUAAUAGUGGUUUGAAUAAUGGUAUCCCAAAACAAAGUAGAAGUGUGUAUCUCUUAUGAAAGGCAGGGUGGAUGGUUCAGGGCUAGUAUGACCCUGCGUAAAUUCCUUGCUCAUCAUACGUCUGUCAGGCUUAGUGUGGCCUCAGUCUUCCGAGCAGCAGGAUGUAAGAAGAAACAGAAAGUAGAAGCGCGGAUGGUGCUUUCUUUUAUGGGAAGUUCCCAGAAACAGCCUCCAGAUAACUUUGCUUACAUCUCAUUGGCUAGAACAUCACCCCGUGGCUGCAGGUGGCUGGAAAAUCUCAUCUUUAUUCUGGGUGGCCAUGUGCAGCUAAAAGUACUGCUACUGUUUAUAGAGUUUGGGCAAGAACCGGCUGUCUGUGCCAUGGGUGGUAGACGAGACCAGCAGUCCCCACUCACUUGGAACUGAGAGUCUGGGGGAAGGAUAGUGACAAAAUAAACAGAUACUUACAGUGACAAGGCCUCUGAGAGGUCUGCAAAGGUGUGCCCUGCGAGUAAACAGGAAGGACACCUAAAUCAGACUGGUGGGGUGGGGGAGGGGAUGAGGAAACGUUGCCUAGAGACUAAGCAAGAAUCUCUCUGGACUGAGGAAAUGGGCAGGGUAUUGAAGCAAAGGCUCGGAGGCAAAGGGGGCAGGUAGUUGGGUGAUGGAGGAGCAUAUGAGGAACAGAAAGUAGACCAGGGAAGCCAGAGGGAGACAGGGUUCUGAUCACAUGGGCCCUGGGGCCACAGGGACAGGUUUGGUCAUUUUCCCCGGAGCCUUUGACUGGUUUCUGGAGGUGAGUAACCUAGACAGGUGCUUUCAGGGGGUGAGGAGCAGCACAAGACUAGAGGCAGGAAAUAUCCACUGGGAGAGAGUGUACUAAUCUGGUUGGGAAAUGAUGGUGGCUUCAGCUACAUAGUGGCUUUGGGGAUCAAGAGAAGUGGAUGCAAAUCCUGUAAAUCCCAUAGAGCUUGGAAUUUAGAAAUAAUUUGGCCUUUUCACGUAAUAGGUGAUGAAACCAAGAAUGAGAAUUUAAAUGGCUUGCCCAGAAUCACACAGCUAGCUGUGGAGCAGCACCAGAUAUCAUUUCUCUAUCUAACUCUUUCCUUUAUGUCACUGUUGAAUGUGCUGAUUUGGGAGAACAGGGCAUUGUGGGCAUUUUGGAGCCAGCAACAGGACCUGAAUCCUGGUGUCCAUUGCAGAGGGAGGAGUCCACCCUGCUUUGGGGGCUGGAUUCCUGGUAAGGUUAUGGGGCAGGUCACAGAAAUGAGGGAGUUGGAAGGAAAAACCAGGUGUGAGAAGAUGAUGGAUUCAGUUUUUGGUUUGUUGAUUUGGAGAUUCAGGACCACCAUCUGUAGGUGGAGAGAGAUCAGAUGGAAACUGGUCCUUGAGAUUGGAAUUGGGGAUGCAGGAUUGGGUGGAAUUGGUCAAAACUUUUCUAUACCCUUUCUUUAAAUUUCUCCAGUGAAAGGGACUCAGCAACUGUUUUUGAGUCCAUUGUGUCAUGUACCUUAGAAUUAAGAGAUUUUUCCAGUGUUUAGCCCUGAAUGAUUUUUGCUGCAAUUUGAAUUCUGUGCAACCACAGAGAUUU